UGAGAGGAGGAAAAAUUAAAUUUGAACGUCAGAUUUUUAUUUAGGCGGAAAAAUCUUUCUUAUAAAGCUGCCACGUGUACAAUAUAAUGUCAACGGUUGUUCCUUUAGUUUAUUUAUAGAUAGAUAGAUAGAUUGAUGCUAGUUUCUUUCAAUCAAUUCAAAUUUGCACAUACCUCACAUGUGCACAACUUCGGAAAUGAUUCAAAUGAAUGUUUAGUGUCAUAGUAUGGAAUAAGCCCAAAAAAAUCAUUGCAAACUCCUUCAACAUAAAAAAAAAAAUGCAACCAAGUGAACAACUUAACGUCCACACCAAAAUCAUGGCCCUCCCUCACGAGUUCUAGAAGCUACUCAUAUUUCACAGCUUCACUCUCUUCAUCUUUCACAGUACUUCUUAUCUUAGGCUUUUCUGUUUAAUCAGAGCUCUUUUACUGGAAACAUCCAAUCAAUCAUGGUGACCCAAAUGAUCAAAAAGACGAAAGUUAGUGACAGUUUGAGUGAUUUAAUGAAGUUCUGACUAGGGAAAUUGGCAGAAGUUGAAUACUCUAGUGUUGAAGUACGUGUCACUUCUAUGUUCUUGGUGUCAAAGAUCGCAGGAUUAGGAAUUGACUCUGUUGUGCAGAAAAAGGUUUAAGUUUCCAGAUAAUACUGUUAAGCUCUAUGCUCAAAAACUUAACAGCAGUGGGCUUUGUGCCAUUUAUCAGGCUGAAUCAUUGCAUUACAAUCUCCUUGGAAGAUUAGCUUUGAGGAGGCAUGCUAUAAUGGUGUGGAGUUUGUUAUGGAAAAUGAGCUAAGAAAUUUGACUAUGUGACUAUACUUUGGAGCGAUCAUUAGCUCGUAGAUCUCAGUGGAUUAAUCUUCUUGAUCAUCUCCUUACAGAUUAUUGUGAGUGGUAUGCUUCGGAGUUCAGUAUGCCUAGUCCAUAAAGUCCAAGUCUGGUUACACGUUCUCUUCUGGAUAGCCUGUCAAUGGGUAUAUUGACUCAGCUGCGAGACACAUUUUCCUUAGACAGGUUUAGGUUUCUUCUCUUAUUAUUUUUGUUUUUUGACUCAUUACAAGGUUCUUUUUUCUAAGAUCUCUGUCCAGCUGAAGUGAACAAGUAUGGAGUGCUAAUACCAACUCAGCUAACAUAAUACUCCGUAACAUUCUACAAGUGUUUUUUUUUACUUCGCUUUUCCCCUUCCUUUAACCUGUGCCUCGUACUAAUGUUUACCCUGGGGACGGAGAGAGGGAGUUACCUAAGUGCAGUUUCCGGAAUGAAGUAUUGAAGUCCAUGGAGCUUAGCCUGACGACUUUAUUGGCUAUAUGUUAAAGAGGGUGUCACUGGUUUUAAAGUCAGUCAUUGCUCGAUUGGGCUAUCAAGGGGAAGCAGGGUCCUCCCAUUCCAUUACUUGAUUUUGUUACUAUAUAGCCUCCCAAGGAUGAUAGGAAGAGUUCAAAGUAAGCUAAUUGGAUCUCUCUCCUCCACUCUGGGCUAGCAGACUGAAGGAGAGAGAAUCUUACCCUCCCACAGACCAGCUCCAUGCUCAGCUAAGCUCGCAACAAAUGAAAUAAAAAGAGUGAAAUCAUAUAUUAUAUGAUUGCCGGCGGUCCAUCGUGCUUGCGGGUUCGGUUGUGCUUCUAGCAAGUUAAUCACGCCCGGUUCACGAGGUUCUACCACUGCAGGACCCAAUCAUAGUCAAAAGAAGAGUUUGAUCCUGGCUCAGAAGGAACGCUAGCUAUAUGCUUAACACAUGCAAGUCGAACGUUGUUUUCAGGGAGCUAGGCAGAAAGAAAAGAGGCUCCUAGCUCGCUAUCAAUUCUUUUUCCAGAUUGGAAUCCUUAAAAGCGGUUUAUGAGACUACAUGGAUCCUUGGACUGGAGCUUUAUUCCCACUCCCAGUAGAGUAGUCUGUCUUCAGUAGUUCGCUUGGUAGGCUUACCUCGUCAUAGGCGAUAGAGCCUUUCCCGCCAAUUCCCUUGCAUAGAUUCUUAGCUAGGACAUGCAGCUUGCCAGGGAGUAGAUGCAAGGAGUCUCUCCUGCGGAAAGGGUGGGCCAUUGAUAAAGAAUCGAUUCCAAACCACAAUGCUAAUCUUCUUUCAACCUGCAAUUUUGACGACCAACGUCGGGUUCCCUGUUCCGGUUCAAUACAUUUAUUGCAGUGGCUUAAUUUUAGAUUUAGACAGCUAUAUAUUAGAGACAUCAUAUAUAUGUUUAGAUGCAAGUUCGGCAAGUGAAUUUAGAAAAUUUGUUUCAAACAAUGAGAGCGAUUGCUAUGAUUAUUUAUGAGAUGAUAUGCUUUAUCAAC